UUUAACUGCUCUGGGUCUGUUCUGGCUCCAGACUGCUGGGUCUGCACCGAUGUGACGGCCAAGAAGGUCCGAGAAGAGGCCUUGUUCCCCCAGGACAAAAGCGGGUCUGAGGCUCGGCGACGCCGCCCUGAUGCCCCGCGCCAGGCCUGGGAGAGGGACUGCCAAUCCGGGUCCCACUCUGCCCACAGACCCCAGUGGCAGCGGUGGUGCUGAGGGACCCGCCUCAGGUUGUUGGUGUGGAGUGGAGGAUAAGGAGGCAUCUUCUGAGCACAGCAUUUCUGCCAAGUAAUGCCACAGGAUAGGACUCUGAAAGCAGGUCUGUCUCCCCAGAAGGCCCACCUCUGUGAGAUGUGUGGACCCAUGUUGAGAGACAGUUUGCACUUGGUUGAACACCAGGAAACACGUCACAGGCAGAAACUGCACAUGUGUGGGGCAUGUGGAAAACAAUUUCCUCUCACUGCAGACCUUUAUCAGCUGCACAAGCAGUGUGUUGGAGAGAAAUGCUUCAAAAGCAGCAAGAGCAGAGCCUUAUUCUUGAAGAGCUGCUAAUUCCAUGUGUUAGGGAAGUCUUUUACCUGUAAGGAGGUUGGGAAGGACUUUCUGGCCAGCUCGGGACAUCUUCAGCAACAGGCCACUCACAUCAGGGAGAAGUCAAACAGUGGACCGGAGUGUGUGGUGGACUUCCACAGUGUAAACAGCCAUUACAACCGGCUAGAGUGCAUGAAAGCUUGCAGCCCCAAACACACCCUUGUUCAGCACCAGAGUCCUCAAGAGGGAAAGAUCUUACAGGUGCUGUGAGUGUGGGAAAUCCUUUAGAAAAAACUGUAGCCUCAGGGAGCAUUUGAGAGUUCACAAUAGAGAAAAGCCUUAUGAGUGUGGGGAAGGUGGAAAAUUAUUUAGCAAGAAGUACAACCUUAUCAUGCAUCAAAAAGUUCACCCUGGUGAAAAGCCAUAUGAGUGCAGUGAACGUGGGGAAUCUUUUAGCCAGAGCUCUCGCCUCAUUAGACACCAGAGAAUUAAUGCUGGAGAAAGGCCUUAUGAGUGCAGUGAAUGGAAAGUCCUUUACCUUCAACCCCAAUCUCCUAAAAUACCAGAAUGUUCACAAGGAAUAAAGGCCUUUACAUAAUAUAGGUAAGUCUGUUAUGGACUGAAUUGUGUCCCUCAAGAUUCAUAUGUUCAAGCCCUAACAGCCAAUGUAACUAUGUUUUUAGGUAUGCCCUAUAAGAAGAUAACUAAGGACAAAUGAGGUCAUAAGAACGGGGUCCUAAUCCAGUGUGACUUGUGUCCGUGGAAGAAGACAAGGCACCAGAAGGUGCUCACUUUCUCGCUGUAUUCACGAACAGAGGAAAGGCCAUUUAAUGACACACCAAGAAAGUGGUUGAUUAGAAGUCAGAAAGAAAGGCCUCACCAGAAACCAUUCCUGAUGGCACCUUGGUCUUAGACUCCCAGCCUCUAGAAAUAGGAGAAUAUACACUUCUUUAAGCCACCCAGUCUGUGGUAUUUUGUUGUGGCAGCCUGAAAAGAGACAAAGAUGCAAAGAAGGUACCUCAUUGUAUUCUGUUUUUGCCGUACUGAUAACAGUAGACGCAAAUAACCUUGAGAAUGUAUAGAAUAGUAAAGCAUAGUGAAAUAAUUAGGAAGUUACAAAUUUUAAGAGUUACCUUUGCUUUUUAAACAGCUUUACUGAAGUACAAUCAGUUGUCAUUCACGCUAGUCAUGUUCUCUAAUUCACUGAAUCAGUGAAUAUAGAGCCGUUGUUCCUAGGGGAAAUCUGGAAUUAGGUUCCUGAGAGCCUCUGGUCACAAUGUUUUUGUCAACAGGUCAGUACAUAACAUGGUUUUCCAUGUGUUUCUGUUUAAAGACAACUCAUUUACUGUAUACUGUUGAUUCGUUAACACUGAAAUCAUGGCCAACAGCAUGAUGAUUCAUGCCUGAACAAUGCUUACCUAACAUGUAUUUUCUUUAAGGCCCAUUUUUUGGGCUUAGGAACUCUAGGCGGCACAUAAGCGCCAGGUUUGGAGGCCAUUUUGGACCACAAAACCACCAAGAAGUGUAAAAAUGUAAGUAUUGAUUUGGGGGGUUUCAAGUUUUGGCAGGUAGGCAAAUUUACAAAUACAGAAUCCAUGAAAAAUGAGGAUUGACUAAUUGUCUUGCCAUAAAUUGUGCAUACUUAAAGAUAUACUCAGGCUGAAACUUGUGCUUUUUCACCAUUUUAUGGACUCACCAAGACUUUGUGAGGACUUUGGUGGAGUCUAGGAUGUUUCAUUCAGCCAGGUGCAUAUGAUCAGGGGCAAAUUCAGUCAUCUGUGAGUCACCAGACCUGGGGUGGGUUAUCAGUGGGCCUGGGCUUUGAAUGAUGGUUGGAUGGACAGAGGAAGGGUGUGAUUUCUGAGGGCACAGCAAGUGCAGAAAAAGCAGAUAGGACCAUGGGUAGCUGAGAUCCACACAUGGUUCUCUGUGGCUGCGUCUGAGCCAAGGAGUUGAAUGAGACCUGCAUGGAGUGAUUUGGGGCUGUGGUUGCUAACAGGAACCAUGGGAAGUCUGUAGUCAUACUGGAUCCUCUCUGAAUUUGUCAAGGAUAUUCUGGAUGCUGUCUGCCAAGUUGUGUUGUAAGUUCUAAAAUUAAGGCCAAUAGAUAUGCUGCCUUAGCAUCUGGUGAAACAAGGAUGCCCUCAAAUGGCCGUGGUACAAGUUUCCCUCCACAUGCUUCUCACAGGUAAUGUCUCCUAACCUUACAACCCUUUUUAUCAAAGGGAGCAGGCACAGUUCCUGCUUAUCCCUUUGUAGUGAGUUUCAGUUCCCUACCAGCCUGCAGAGUCAUUUAAACAAGCCAAUCAUGUCCUCUUGCGGGAAGCAGGGCACCAUACCCUCUCGAUCCCAAAGAGACUGCAUCCCACAGCCCUUGGUUUUUCACUCCGCCAGCGUGUGGCCUUCCCAUGGCCUUGUGUGUUGUCUCCCACAUGUUAAUAUGUGGUUAAUAAAUGGCUGUUGAUUACAUCUGGCCAGUGUCAGGGGUCAUGUGUUUGGCCACACCCUUAGGGUGGGAAUUAUACCCUCACCAGUGGGGUUAUGAGGAGGUGACUGAAAUACGAGUAACAAGACGCCUACAGUAGGGGGUACUGAUGCUGGUGGCCGUGGGCAUGGGGCUGUGAGGGAUGUGCGUCGGACAGGGAGCACGUCUGAUGGUCUAGAGCACUGCACUGGAAACCACAUUACUGUGGCCACACCCGGGCAAUAGCCUGUGGAGGUGGUACAUCCUUCUGUGCUUGUCCCAGAGCUUAGCUGUUGAUUGCCCAUGUGCCUCCUGCUGCUGAUGGCUUUGCCCAGUGAUCAAUGGACCCCUGAGGAGACAGAGGCACCAGUGGUACCAGGGCCUGGUUUCUUCUCUGAGUUGGGGAGGUUGGGAGGAGGAUGGGCAUAUGGUAGAUGUGGGGGUGGGUGGGUUGGUGGAGAAUGGAUUGUGGCUUCUUGGGAGUGGGGCUGUUUGUGGUUUCAUCUGUCACCAUCAUAGCAGGAUGGCGUGACCUUUGAAGAUGUGGCUGUGACCUUUUCCGGGGAGGAAUGGGGUCUCCUUGAUGAGUCUCGGAGAUACCUGUACCGUGAUGUGAAGCUGGAGAACUUGGCACUUACAGCCUCCCUGGGAGUUGCUGGGCUGCCACCUGCUAAAGAAGAGGAUGUGUCACCCAUACCUGUCGUUGGAAUUUCUCCCCGGGCAGAGGAACAAGACAAGGAUGCCCACUCUCACCACUAUUAUUCAAC